AGAUAGAGGUUGCGCUAUCCAGGAUUACCUUUCCAGAUAUGGCAGGCAUAGGGGAAGGAGAGGGAAAGGGGCUGGCGCCGAAAGGAACCGCAUCCUGCGGGUGGUUUCUUGGGCAUGCCGUGAAGAACGGUAUGACUGUCAUCAGUUUCUGAUGGGGCGCUAUCC
rnacentral:ncRNA from 1 species